rnacentral:rRNA from 1 species
UCAGGACGAACGCUGGCGGCGUGCUUAACACAUGCAAGUCGAACGGAAAGGCUCCAGCUUGCUGGAGUACUCGAGUGGCGAACGGGUGAGUAACACGUGGGUAAUCUGCCCUGCACUCUGGGAUAAGCCUGGGAAACUGGGUCUAAUACUGGAUAUGACCUUUCUCCUUAUGGGGUUUGGUGGAAAGUUUUUCGGUGUAGGAUGAGCCCGCGGCCUAUCAGCUUGUUGGUGGGGUGAUGGCCUACCAAGGCGACGACGGGUAGCCGGCCUGAGAGGGUGAUCGGCCACAUUGGGACUGAGAUACGGCCCAGACUCCUACGGGAGGCAGCAGAAGGG